rnacentral:rRNA from 1 species
GCCAGUUAUUUCGCCACCCCGCCGAGGGCAUUUGCGGGAAUUCGCGUGUGUGACCGUGCGUGGCGUCGUGUGGGCGGUUGCAUUUGGCAUAGGAGUGAGGAGGGCCCCCGAUUGGGUGAAAACCCUAGCCCAUUCUCCCCGCCGCGCCCCUCUCCCCUUCUCUACCACAGCCGCCGCCGCCGCCAGCGCGGGCCGCGGACACGACGAGGAGGCGCAUCACCGCGCGCUGCCCGGCCAAGAUCUUCUCCCGCGUGCGCCACCUCCUCGCCAAGCCCUUCCCCUACGCGCGGCCCUCGCCGACUCGCUCUUCCUCGUCCAGGACGCCCGCGGCGCCGCCGCCGGCUGCGCUGACGGCGGCUAGGUCGGGGAUGUUAGGGAUGCGGCCGAGCAGCGCGGCAGCGUCAUGGGUGGCAUGCGGAUGCGCAUGGAGCCACGGACGCCGCCGUCCCCAACGACGCCCCAUCCCGGCGCUCCUCGACUCCCGCUUGGACGGCGACAAGUUCGAGCCGUGUCCGUCGACCCCGACGUCGCGCUCGCCUACAAGUUCCCCGAGGUCUCCUUCGCCUACGACGAGAGGUGCGGGCCUUAGCUCGACGGAACGGCUCUCCCGGUUGAUCCCAUCUGUCACGCCGUCUCCUUGCUCCGUGCAGGAACGUGGCGCUGUACGCGCUCGGCAUGGGGGCCUGCGGCGUCGAUGGCUAGGAGCUCCACCUCGUGCACCACAGCCAGCGCCGCAUCAAGAUUGCCACCAUAUUUGUGAGCCUUUUGGUACGUCACUCAUAAAAUAAAUAUAAUGGACUUGAGUGGUGGAUUGAGUAACUUCCGAAAUGGACCUUAUUAUCUUGGUUUCUCCUUUCACGACAUGAUGGUGUUGGAUGUGGCAUGACUUUGUGUAAGGCACUGAUGGUCUCUGAGGUGAGCUCUUUAUGUGAUUCUAACUGCACUCUGUCUCCCUGCGCAAGUAGAACUGCAAUUUAGUUGUUCUGAAUUUUGUGUGUUGUAGACUGGAAGUCAAGGUUCUGGUCGAUUUUUAUGUCUCUGAAUAUACUUAUACUUCAAAAUGCCGACCACUUUAUUUAGAUAUUGUGUCUUCCUCAUUAUUCUUCAGUAUUUCCUCUAUUUAGCUACAUGACAUUCUCUUCGCUGCUGCUUCUCUUACAGUCAUCUAGCUACCAUGUGACUUGGUUAACUGUAUUACUGCUUCUACACUGCCUACGGAUGAAGAAGUAAACAGAUGCAGUUUGUGUUGUUUCUCUAAUAAUCCUAAGGAAUUUUUAGGUUUCCCUUACUAAUGUUGUCAUGCCAUUGCCGACAUUCGAUCCGUUGCUCUCCUCACCAGUUAUGUGGUUAUCCAUUUGAUCUCUGCCAUUGCAGCUCUUUAUUUGGCAGGGAACUACAAAUUUCAUAUCUACCAUUUGGUGAUAGUAUUCACUUAAAUUACAUGCGCCGUCUAGGGUUUGAAGAGGAGAGAGAGAGAGAGAGAGAGAGAGGGAGAGGGAGGGAGAGGGAGGGAGAGAGGGAGAGGGAGCCUAGAUACAAAGCUCUAGACCAAGACAAAUCACUCGUGUGUGUCGGUGUUUGCCAAAAACCUGGUAUUUCUAUAUGGUUUGCCAUGGCAGGUGCCUUCACAGCAGUAGCCUUCAAGUAAGGAAUCAUCUGACUACAGUCUCGGUCCUUCGAGCUUAGUUAACUAAAGCAUCUUUUAUAUCAGAUAUCAAAUUAUCUAUACUUGUACUAAGAUAUAAUGUAUCUAACCAGAUUUUCACUUCUUUAAUGGAGUUUUUAGCACUCGGAUUUAUUUGAAAUAGCUGCUCCUAUAUUUUUGUCAGUGCUUGCUAUACUUUGUUUAAAUGUUUCUUCUUGGUAGGAUCAGUUUUAAAUAGUGGAUGUAAGCAUGCCUUUUCAAGCUUAAGCAUUUGAUUUUUGGUGAUAUGGUGUUCUCUCCUUACAGAUGACCUUCUGCUUUCUUAUUUUAAAAAAUAGACAAGUUGGAUGCAGUUGCCGCCACUCAUGUCGCUACAGGAGGAGUGCGCGCAGGGGGAGUGGCGGGUCAAGGUGCGCUCAUCGGUGCCGCUGCUGACCGGCAGAUCCAGGCGCACCCUCUCGGUGCACGCAGGGGGGGUGAUCUACGACGACCUCCUGGGCACGACACCGCUGGAGACGGUGAGAAACACGCACUCCGUCCACCAUUGGUCACCGGCAGUAGCAGGACGAACCGUCGCCGUAGCCGCCAGGCUGAACCAUAAGACGCCUCAACAGCGACCGACGAAGUUGUCGAGGCGAGGCGACGGCCUGGAGGUGAACUGCAGCGACAGCGUGAACUUGGCCGGCGACCGCAAGGACCCAUCCACGGGGUCCCUUCCUCUCUGAAAACGGCCUAAUUGCUGAUAUCUUGCCUCCCCUCUCCUUCUCCCUCUCUUAAUUUUCAAGCGAUUUCGGUAUGGUAUUACUGUUAGGUAACCCUACGAACUUUGUUGGAACCUAAAAAAUAGGUACUCUGAUGGAUUAGAGUGGUUCUGCCUGAAACAACUUCCAAUGGAUUGUUGAAUUAGCCAAUGUCAUAAUUAGUAAAUCUGUGCUGUUAUAUUCUGUAACGAGAUCACAUUAUGCCCAUGUUUAGAUGACACUGACCCAAGUUUACUUUGUGAUUCCCUUAAUUUCUCUACCUAAUUCUUGUGGCAUGCUUUCAUCAGUUUCAAUACGAUGAAGAUGACAGAUCCAACAUGGUAUCCUUUACGGAUGAACAGGAUUCAAGAUGCAUGUGUGCCACCCAGGCCACACAAAGAAGGCCCAAUGAUUUUUUGGAUAGGAUAAGUGCACUUCAGGCCACCCAAGGUCGAGCAUUCAGCAGUGAUGCCAGAGGAAUACCUUUGUGCGAGACUGCUCUCGGUUGAAAAUAUCCAAAGGUUGGUGCCUCAAGCGAAACUUAUCGCCCGUGAUUCUUUCCCUUUUGUUGCUAUCAAGUUUGAUCCAUCUGCUCCACGCAACCCCUUCUCUGGACAAGCGAUGGUUAUAGUCGUCAUGGACUCCGAUGAGAUUCUCGAUGAAGCGAUACCUGAGUGGUUGGAAUUGGCAAUCAUAUGCUUCCAGCGGUAUCACUCGCCAUGAUGAGCUCCACCAUUGGUUCUCACUCUGUGUACUUAUCAAGACUGCUAUCUAACUGUCACCAGCCUUUGUAUAAACGCCUUGCUUUUAGUAUUUUGUGAUGUUCGGCUGUCCUGUCCUGUAAUGUAACCAACUUACUCUAAUUAUUAAUAAUGGUAUUUCAACUUGUGGGAUGCAUUCAUUUCUAUAUAAAUGACUUGCUGUAAUCCUGAUCCAUCUUACUUUGUACUGCACUUAUAUUAUCUGUAUUGGUUUACAUACUCCCCUGAUAAAUACCAGGCGCUGGAUUAUUGGAUCACUACUUUAGAC